rnacentral:rRNA from 1 species
GGGGAAAGCUCAGCAAAGAAAUCAGGGACCCCGGCCUUGAGUUGUGGACUUGAGAGGUAUUGCCAAUGGUGGCGCAGGUGCGGGCCUCUUGGAAAAGGGCACCACAGAGGGUGUGAGUCCUGUUUGUCAUCUGUAGUCCGCCAUGUACGGCAUGAUUCCUCAAAGUCACGUUCCUUGGAAUUGGAGCGCGAAGGUGGUGGUGGCUUUCAUCUCAAGCUAAGUAUGGGUUCGAGACCGAUAGCAAACAAGUACCAUGAGGGAAGAUUGAAAAGAGCUUUGGAAAGAGAGUUAAAAGUGCCCGAACUUGCUGAUAGGGAAGCGAAGGGAGCUGACGUUGCUUGGUGACAUAUUCCGCGCAAGAGUAGGAUGGGUUCUGAUUGCAAUCUGCGUAGUGCUUCUUGCCGUGCGUGUCGAUGCCAAGCAAUGAGUGGGGAGAGCACCAGGGAUAAUGAUUGUUUCUGUCCCCGGGUGGACGAAGGUGCCUGGUCGCAUCCAUUUGUGGGCUGAAA